UCAGAUUGAACGCUGGCGGCAGGCCUAACACAUGCAAGUCGAGCGCGAAAGCACUUCGGUGUGAGUAGAGCGGCGGACGGGUGAGUAACGCGUAGGAAUCUACCUGGUAGUGGGGGACAACUCGGGGAAACUCGAGCUAAUACCGCAUACGCCCUAUGGGGGAAAGCGGGGGAUCUUCGGACCUCGCGCUAUCAGAUGAGCCUGCGUUGGAUUAGUUAGUUGGUGGGGUAAUGGCCUACCAAGGCGACGAUCCAUAGCUGGUCUGAGAGGAUGAUCAGCCACACCGGGACUGAGACACGGCCCGGACUCCUACGGGAGGCAGCAGUGGGGAAUAUUGCGCAAUGGGCGAAAGCCUGACGCAGCCAUGCCGCGUGUGUGAAGAAGGCCUUCGGGUUGUAAAGCACUUUCAAUUGGGAGGAAAGGGUCACGGCUAAUACCCGUGAUCUGUGACGUUACCUUUAGAAGAAGCACCGCUAAU
rnacentral:rRNA from 1 species